UACGUAGGGGGCUAGCGUUGUCCGGAAUCAUUGGGCGUAAAGCGCGUGUAGGCGGCUCGGUAAGUCCGCUGUGAAAGUCGGGGGCUCAACCCUCGGAUGCCGGUGGAUACUGUCGGGCCAGAGUACGGAAGAGGCGAGUGGAAUUCCUGGUGUAGCGGUGAAAUGCGCAGAUAUCAGGAGGAACACCCAUGGCGAAGGCAGCUCACUGGCCAUUAUCUGACGCUGAGGCGCGAAAGCGUGGGUAGCAAACAGG
rnacentral:rRNA from 1 species